rnacentral:rRNA from 1 species
CCUACGGGGCGCAGCAGUGGGGAAUAUUGCACAAUGGGGGAAACCCUGAUGCAGCGACGCCGCGUGAAGGAAGAAGUAUUUCGGUAUGUAAACUUCUAUCAGCAGGGAAGAACAAUGACGGUACCUGACUAAGAAGCACCGGCUAAAUACGUGCCAGCAGCCGCGGUAAUACGUAUGGUGCAAGCGUUAUCCGGAUUUACUGGGUGUAAAGGGAGCGCAGGCGGCGCGUUAAGCCUGGUGUGAAAGCCCGCGGCCCAACCGCGGGACGGCAUUGGGAACUGGCGCGCUGGAGUGC